rnacentral:rRNA from 1 species
GAUGAACGCUGGCGGCGUGCCUAAUACAUGCAAGUCGAGCGAACAGACGAGGAGCUUGCUCCUCUGACGUUAGCGGCGGACGGGUGAGUAACACGUGGAUAACCUACCUAUAAGACUGGGAUAACUUCGGGAAACCGGAGCUAAUACCGGAUAAUAUAUUGAACCGCAUGGUUCAAUAGUGAAAGACGGUUUUGCUGUCACUUAUAGAUGGAUCCGCGCCGCAUGAGCUAGUUGGUAAGGUAACGGCUUACCAAGGCGACGAUGCGUAGCCGACCUGAGAGGGUGAUCGGCCACACUGGAACUGAGACACGGUCCAGACUCCUACGGGAGGCAGCAGUAGGGAAUCUUCCGCAAUGGGCGAAAGCCUGACGGAGCAACGCGGCGUGAGUGAUGAAGGUCUUCGGAUCGUAAAACUCUGUUAUUAGGGAAGAACAAAUGUGUAAGUAACUAUGCACGUCUUGACGGUACCUAAUCAGAAAGCAACGGCUAACUACGUG